rnacentral:rRNA from 1 species
GAUGAACGCUGGCGGCGUGCCUAACACAUGCAAGUCGAGCGAACCCUUCGGGGUGAGCGGCGGACGGGUGAGUAACGCGUGGGUAACCUGCCCUAUACACACGGAUAACGUACCGAAAGGUACGCUAAUACGGGAUAAAGCUGUUAGAUGGCAUCUUCUAACAAUCAAAGCUCCGGCGGUAUAGGAUGGACCCGCGUCUGAUUAGCUAGUUGGUGAGGUAAUGGCUCACCAAGGCGACGAUCAGUAGCCGACCUGAGAGGGUGAUCGGCCACACUGGAACUGAGACACGGUCCAGACUCCUACGGGAGGCAGCAGUGGGGAAUAUUGCACAAUGGGCGAAAGCCUGAUGCAGCAACGCCGCGUGAGCGAUGAAGGUCUUCGGAUCGUAAAGCUCUGUCCUCAAGGAAGAUAAUGACGGUACUUGAGGAGGAAGCCCCGGCUAACUACGUGCCAGCCGCCGCCGUAACAC